UACGUAGGGGGCAAGCGUUGUCCGGAUUUAUUGGGCGUAAAGAGCGUGUAGGCGGCCAAACAGGUCAGCUGUGAAAACUCGAGGCUCAACCUCGAGACGUCGGUUGAAACCGUAUGGCUAGAGUCCGGAAGAGGAGAGUGGAAUUCCCGGUGUAGCGGUGAAAUGCGCAGAUAUCGGGAAGAACACCUAUGGCGAAGGCAGCACUCUGGGCCGGCACUGACGCUGAGGAGCGAAAGCGUGGGGAGCGAACAGG
rnacentral:rRNA from 1 species